AGGAUAAAAGUUAAUUUUAACGUUUAAUUUGCACUUAAAAAAUACUGAACAAUUCAGUUUAUCUUA
rnacentral:tRNA from 1 species